rnacentral:piRNA from 1 species
GAACAGAAAGGGCUGCUUUGGUGAUC